rnacentral:rRNA from 1 species
AACGAACGCUGGCGGCAUGCCUAACACAUGCAAGUCGAACGAGACCUUCGGGUCUAGUGGCGCACGGGUGCGUAACGCGUGGGAACCUGCCCUUAGGUUCGGAAUAACUCCCCGAAAGGGGUGCUAAUACCGGAUAAUGUCUUCGGACCAAAGAUUUCUCGCCUUUGGAUGGGCCCGCGUUGGAUUAGCUAGUUGGUAGGGUAAAAGCCUACCAAGGCGACGAUCCAUAGCUGGUCUGAGAGGAUGAUCAGCCACACUGGGACUGAGACACGGCCCAGACUCCUACGGGAGGCAGCAGUGGGGAAUAUUGGACAAGGGGCGAAAGCCUGAUCCAGCAAUGCCGCGUGAAUGAUGAAGGCCUUAGGGUUGUAAAGCUCUUUUACCCGGGAUGAUAAUGACAGUACCGGGAGAAUAAGCUCCGGCUAACUCCGUG